rnacentral:lncRNA from 1 species
CUUGUCUUGUGGAUUUAUAUUGACCCUCGGCUGGGAGGCUCUGAACUAUUCUGAUGCUUAGGUAGUCUAUUAGACUGACCACCUAAUCUACAAUCUUCUUUCUUUAUAAUUGAAUUUAUUGCAUAAAAAUUAAUUAUAUUUUUAAUAUAUUAAAUAGAUUCGAUAAAGUUGUCUAGCAAAGUUGGAAAUGUUAGGACAGAAGA